rnacentral:rRNA from 1 species
UACGUAGGGGGCAAGCGUUGUCCGGAAUUACUGGGCGUAAAGGGAGCGUAGGCGGCAGUGUAAGUUUCAUGUGAAAUACCCGGGCUCAACCUGGGGGUUGCAUGGAAAACUACACAGCUAGAGUACAGGAGAGGCAAGUGGAAUUCCUAGUGUAGCGGUGAAAUGCAUAGAUAUUAGGAGGAACACCAGUGGCGAAGGCGACUUGCUGGACUGAAACUGACGCUGAGGCUCGAAAGCGUGGGGAGCAAACAGG